CAUGUGAAGCAUGUGAGGCUCCUGCUGCAGCGCCUGUUGGAGAAUCGCUUGUUCGUUAAGGUGGAAAAAUAAUGGAAUUAUGAUGUUGGGGACCGGGAGUUGCUCGCCAUCAAGCUGGCCCUGGAGGAGUGGCAGCAUUGGCUGGAGGCGGGCGAGAACCCUGUGGUGGUGUGGACAGAUCACAAGAACUUGGCGUAUCUCCAAGCAGCGAAGCAUCUCAAUGCUCGGCAAGCCAGGUCUGUUUUUUACCUGUUUCAAUCUCAUUAUUACAUACAUGCCUGGGUCCCACAACACCAAAGCAGACGCACUGUCACGCCAGUUCGCACCGGAUCCCGAUGAUGAGGGAAUCAGCCCAUCCUCCCGCCUUCGUGUUUUGUUGGAGCUUUAAUGUGGGAGAUAAAGAAGCUCAUAAGGGAGCAGGAACCCGACCCAGGAACAGGCCCAGAGGGCAAGCUGUUUGUCCCUGCAUCAGAGUAGGGUGCUCCAGUGGGCCUACACCGCACAUUUCGGCUGUCAUCUGGUUAGGAACCUCACCAUCACUUUCCUUCAGCAAUCCUUCUGGUGGCCUACUCUGAUGCAGGGAGUAUGUCGUUGACUGUCCUGUGUGUACUCAGAAUAAGGCACCGAAUUCGCCUCCUGCUGGCCUCCUGCAACCACUCCCCAUGCCCAAGUGACCCUGGUCGCACAUUGCACUGGACUUUGUCACCGGACUGCCCCCGUCAUCAGGUAACACUUUUUCAAUUCUCACCAUCAUUGACUGGUUUUCUAAGGCUGUCCACUUUGUUGCCCUGCCGAAGCUUCCAUCUGCCCUGGAGACUGCUUGGCUUCUUACCUAGCACGUGUUCAGUCUCCACGGUAUUCCUCGUGACAUCGUCUCUGGCCCAGGUCCGCAGUUCACAUUCCAGGUCUAAGAAACUUGCUCCUCGGUUUAUUGAACCCUUUCCUGUGCAAGUGGUUUUGAAUCCAGUGACUGUCCAGUUGGCCCUGCCACGUAACAUGAGAAUUCAUUAUGUCUUUCAUGUCUCCCAGGUGAGACCAGUCCGGACCAGCCCGUUGUGCCUGCCCCCUGGGUCCCCACCAUCUCUGACAAGUUUGUCUCUUUCCUUUCUCUCUGUCUCGGGGGCGAUUGUUUACGGAGGUCGCCUGGCAACGAGUGACACUUGACCCGGAAGUACCGCUGCUCUAGAAGCCGCCACACCUGGGACUGAUUCGGCAUCCACCUGCCUUUAAUUAUCCACCAUCUUAGGCAGAGCUAUUUAAUGGGUGGCCUACGACAGUCACUGCUGGAGUAUUGCACUAAGCCGCUAGUGUUCUCGGACC
ensembl:lncRNA